UGGGGAAUCUUCCGCAAUGGACGAAAGUCUGACGGAGCAACGCCGCGUGGGUGACGAAGGUUUUCGGAUCGUAAAACCCUGUCAAGAAGGAAGAAAAAAGACGGUACUUCUGAAAGAAGCCCCGGCUAACUUCGUGCCAGCAGCCGCGGUAAUACGAAGGGGGCAAGCGUUGUUUGGAAUUACUGGGCGUAAAGCGCACGCAGGCGGCGUGACGCGUCAGAAGUGAAAUCCCCGGGCUCAACCUGGGAACUGCUUUUGAAACGGUCAUGCUUGAAUCAUGGAGAGGGUAGCGGAAUUCCGAGUGUAGAGGUGAAAUUCGUAGAUAUUCGGAGGAACACCAGUGGCGAAGGCGGCCUACUGGGCUUUAACUGACGCUGAGGCUCGAAAGUGUGGGGAGCAAACA
rnacentral:rRNA from 1 species